UCAAAACAUGAGUUUAUGGUGGUCAGGUC
rnacentral:sRNA from 1 species